UAGGGAAUCUUCGGCAAUGGGGGCAACCCUGACCGAGCAACGCCGCGUGAGUGAAGAAGGUUUUCGGAUCGUAAAGCUCUGUUGUAAGAGAAGAACGUGUGUGAGAGUGGAAAGUUCACACAGUGACGGUAACUUACCGGAAAGGGACGGCUAACUACGUGCCAGCAGCCGCGGUAAUACGUAGGUCCCGAGCGUUGUCCGGAUUUAUUGGGCGUAAAGCGAGCGCAGGCGGUUUAAUAAGUCUGAAGUUAAAGGCAGUGGCUUAACCAUUGUUCGCUUUGGAAACUGUUAAACUUGAGUGCAGAAGGGGAGAGUGGAAUUCCAUGUGUAGCGGUGAAAUGCGUAGAUAUAUGGAGGAACACCGGUGGCGAAAGCGGCUCUCUGGUCUGUAACUGACGCUGAGGCUCGAAAGCGUGGGGAGCAAACAGG
rnacentral:rRNA from 1 species